rnacentral:rRNA from 1 species
CUACGGGAGGCUCCAGUUAGGAAUAAUCUGCAAUGCGCGAAAGCGUGACAGUUUGAACCAGAGUGCUUCUUAUUAAGAAGCUUUUGCCAAAUGUAAAAAGUUUGGCGAAUAAGGACUGGGUAAGACUAGUGCCAGCCGCCGCGGUAAUACUAGCGGUCCGAGUCGCAGCCAUAUUUAUUGGGUCUAAAACAUCCGUAGCUUGCUUUGUAAGUUUCUUGUGAAAUUCUAUCUCUUAAAGGUAGAGCGCGCAAGAAGUACUGCAGUGCUAGAGACUGGAAGACGUAAGGAGUAUGUUCAAAGUAGCGGUAAAAUGUUUUAAUCUUGAACAGACUAACAACAGCGAAGGCACCUUACGAGGACAGUUCUGACAGUAAGGGAUGAAGGCUAGGGUCGCGAAACGGAUUAGAUACCCUAGUAGUC